CUGAAGGGUCAUUUCUUACCUUUAUUUAUAGAGGGACCAAAGUAAGGGAGAGAGAGAGAAGGCCCAUUAUGGGUUUUUUGGCCAUAUGGAGUAGUACAGGCCGCCCUAUUGGCUCUGGCAGUAGAUGUGCCUUUCGUUCGAUGCGCAGAUGGCUGCGGCGACACGCCUUAUCGCACGUGGGGCAUAAUUAAUGACCUCGUUGUUUCUUAUCUUGGCA
rnacentral:lncRNA from 1 species